AGCGAACGCUGGCGGCAGGCUUAACACAUGCAAGUCGAGCGGGCAUAGCAAUAUGUCAGCGGCAGACGGGUGAGUAACGCGUGGGAACGUACCUUUUGGUUCGGAACAACACAGGGAAACUUGUGCUAAUACCGGAUAAGCCCUUACGGGGAAAGAUUUAUCGCCGAAAGAUCGGCCCGCGUCUGAUUAGCUAGUUGGUGAGGUAAUGGCUCACCAAGGCGACGAUCAGUAGCUGGUCUGAGAGGAUGAUCAGCCACAUUGGGACUGAGACACGGCCCAAACUCCUACGGGAGGCAGCAGUGGGGAAUAUUGGACAAUGGGCGCAAGCCUGAUCCAGCCAUGCCGCGUGAGUGAUGAAGGCCCUAGGGUUGUAAAGCUCUUUUGUGCGGGAAGAUAAUGACGGUACCGCAAGAAUAAGCCCCGGCUAACUUCGUGCCAGCAGCCGCGGUAAUACGAAGGGGGCUAGCGUUGCUCGGAAUCACUGGGCGUAAAGGGUGCGUAGGCGGGUCUUUAAGUCAGGGGUGAAAUCCUGGAGCUCAACUCCAGAACUGCCUUUGAUACUGAAGAUCUUGAGUUCGGGAGAGGUGAGUGGAACUGCGAGUGUAGAGGUGAAAUUCGUAGAUAUUCGCAAGAACACCAGUGGCGAAGGCGGCUCACUGGCCCGAUACUGACGCUGAGGCACGAAAGCGUGGGGGAGCAAACAGG
rnacentral:rRNA from 1 species